AUUCCCUUCAGCUUCAGGAGUGAGUUGAUUAUUCACAUGUUCUUUUUAGGGGGUUUAAGCUGCUAGUCCUUAAAGAAUAGAUGCUGAAGGUUGUCAUUGAUUCCUCUUUCCUUCCUCCCACGUCUGCUCUGGGCCUUCUCAUUGAUGUAGUAUCUUAGGUUACUUCCAAAAUAAUUUGAGAAAUGGAUUUAUAGAAGAAGCUAGCUUUCCAGUAGAAAAGUUUAGAUGACAAGAUUAAUGUGAUAAGAACUAAGAAAGCCCUUCCUAGUUUUCAUUGAAAAUGUGUUUUUAAUGCCCAGAGGUGCCCAGUCAAAAAGGAAAUAUUACAGAAGGAUUAUUUUCAUCAGCAGAGUUCUUGGGCAUUGCAAGUUCCAGUGUAAUUAGGGAAAUCACAUGCGAGUACAUCAAUACACUUCAGAUGCCAAUACAUUGGGCUUAAUGAGGACAACAAGCCUGCUUUUAUUAGGGGAUUGAAUAAAAGUGAAAGGAGUUCUUGAAAAGAAUUGGUAAUUUUGGAUGGGAUAAUUCAUCACUUCACUCCAGAUCAGUUUUUCACAGUAAGAAGUGCUGGCUCUUCAGAAAAUUUGGCAUAACCAAAGUUUAUUGUCACUAUCUCCUCCUUCUCACAUUGUCCUUUGUCGCACCCCCAGCAGGUCCACAGUGAUCCUGCGGGCCACCCCCAUGGACCCUGCCCGUUUUCUUCCAUCGGGGGCUAUCUUACGUCAGUCUUUCAAGGUCUCCUCAGUAAUGCAGGCCAGUUGGAUUUUUGCUUUCUUUUCCCAGAGGACAAUUCAGCCUCAGCGUCUUAGUCUAAAAGGAUUCAUGCAAGCGUGUCAGAUGUUUUAUUAGGCUAAGGGGGAGGUAUUUUGGGUUGUGGGGAGCACUUACUGCAACCCUGUAUGAAAUUCCCUACUCAGUGAUGUUCAGGCUGCACGGGCCAACAUGGAAAGGGCUUAAGGGAGAUGACAAAAACAAAAUCUCUUCUUCCACAAAGAUUUUCAGUUGAUCAAUUUUGUUACUUUUUUGUGAUGAAACUAUCUGCACUGCAGCUAAUGAUUUUUUUCUGAAGGUGGAAAAGGUAGGAGCAACAGCUUUCAGUUCUAAGGAUACAUUCUGUUGACCUUCAUAAGCCCUAGGAACUAGAGGGGCAAGAUUGAGGAGGAAAUAGAGAAAAUAAUUUGCUCUAUAGUAUUUUCCCCCUGAGCUGCCAUCUGGGGCUUUCAGAGCUUAGCACUGCACUCUUGCAAUGUUGCACACACCACAGGAGCAAUAUCAAGAGAUGUCAAACAUGAGUGGUAUUGGUCACUGGAAACAGCAGAUUCCAAAUAGCUGUCUCACCAGACUAUUCUUUCAGAAGAUUCAUUUGUGCCAACUACUUCUUUGUCAUGGAUCCUUCCUGGUUCUGCAACACAGAUGUGGAAAGUGAAGAGAACACGUCAUGGAAUUCCAUUUCUAAGAGUGGAAAAUAUACAAUUUACCAUGGGAUGUUUAAGAUAUUAAUAUAUUGUUCACCAUGUGUAUCCAGAGCUUUAGUAGAAGUAGGUUAAAAGAGCCGUGCAUGUAUACACGGUGCUCCUCAUUGUCAAACGCUGAAGCCUGUUACAGGCUGGGUUUGGGGGCUGGGGGUACUUACGGGACAAAGUCUGACUCUCGGUCUGUAGGCUGAGUGCCUUCUUAGUGUGUUGGGACUCAGCAUGUAUUCACCCCAUCUGUACUCACAAGCCUAAUUCAUUAAUCAGGAUGACUUACUGGGCUGUGAGCCCUUUGAGGACAGGACCUUGUACCUUUAUCUUGUGCCUCUCAUGCCUAGCAUAGCACCAGGCAUGUAACACGUUCUUUUUAAAAAAGUGUUUUACAGCUUUAUCAAGGCAUACAUGAUGUCAGAUCAACUGCAUGUGUUUAAAGUUUUACACUUGAUGAGUUUUGAUAUAUGUCUAUACCCGUGAAACCAUCACUGCAAUCAAGAUAAUAAACGCAUUCAUCCACCCUAAAGUUUCUCGUGUCCCUUUGCAAGCCACCCCCCUUCCUCCCAUUGUUCCCAGACAACCACUAUUCUGCUUUCUGUCACUGCAGAUGAGUUUGUGUUUUCUGGAAUUUUAUAUAAGUGGAAUCAUACAACAUGUACUCUGUUUUUCUGGCUGUUUUCACUCAGCAUAAUUUUCUCAAGAUUCAUUGAAGUUUUAUAUAUUAAUAGUUUGCUACAUUUCAUUGCUGAAUAGUAUUCCAUUGUAUAAAUCAUAAUAGGCACCUAACAAGUGUUUGUGGCUUUACACUGACUUGAAAAUUAAUUUUUAAGAAUAUAAUUGGGCAAAAAGUGGACAAUGGGAUACCACUCUAUUCUUGGUGAGUGGGUUCACUCAGGAAGUGGAAAUAAGAAUCAGGAGAUAAUUUGGCAUGGUAGAGACUUUUGUUGUCAUCCAAUAUCUAUUUUUCCUUCUUUCUUAGUACUGGAAUACCUGAGUUUUGGCUGGGCACAGAACUGUCUGGAAUACAGACUGCAAUUCCCAGCCUUCUGUGCAGUUCUGUGUGGCCAUGUGACUAAGUUGUGGUCAAUAUGAGUCACGGAAGAAUAGAAGAACAACUCAGAGGAGGAAGAAGUCAGACAUAGCCAGACACGGCUGCUAGCAGUUCCACCAAUGAAAGAGGAGACCAGGAUGUUUAAAACAGGCAAACACAAGGUGCGAAAAACCAGAAGCGAAAACUUCUGAGGUCAUUUAAGCAAGGACUAUCGUUAUCCCCGGAAGCAGAGAGAAGUUCCCUUUGCCCAACAUCACACUGCAAGCACGUGUUGGAGCUGAGAUUCAAACCCAGGCAUCCAGGGUCCAGGGCCCAUGCUUUUAAUAUAUUCCAUAUCUUAGGAGAAUUUCCCCUAUUUAAACAAUAAAAGUGCAAAAAUCUUGUGGCUAGCCAA
rnacentral:lncRNA from 1 species